rnacentral:rRNA from 1 species
GGUGGGCAGUGGAGACAUUGUCCUUCAGUUAGGCUGGCCCCAGAACAGGUGCUGCAUGGCUGUCGUCAGCUCGUGUCGUGAGAUGUUGGGUUAAGUCCCGCAACGAGCGCAACCCUCGCCCUUAGUUGCCAGCAUUUAGUUGGGCACUCUAAGGGGACUGCCGGUGAUAAGCCGAGAGGAAGGUGGGGAUGACGUCAAGUCCUCAUGGCCCUUACGGGCUGGGCUACACACGUGCUACAAUGGUGGUGACAGUGGGCAGCGAGACAGCGAUGUCGAGCUAAUCUCCAAAAGCCAUCUCAGUUCGGAUUGCACUCUGCAACUCGAGUGCAUGAAGUUGGAAUCGCUAGUAAUCGCAGAUCAGC